CGCAAACUCAGACUGCUCCUCGCCCUCUGCAACACUCUUCCCACUCUUUCAAAUCUCGGUUUUCAUCCUUCUCUCUUCAUGUUUCGUUUCUCUCUUUGCAGCAUUCUAAAUCUGAUAAUCAAUUGCUCUUUAUUAGUUCCGUUGUUUGUGUUGCAAUAUCUGAAACGAUGUAAUUAGGUUUUUGAUUCGAUUCGCGCGUGUCCCAUUCACUUCUCCAAUCCGGUUUAUUUUCAACAUUUAAUCUAUACUACUCCAUUUGUUAAUGGAGGCUAAGCUACAGAACAGGGAAAGGAUACUGAGUGUUAAUCCUAUUGAGCAGAGUAUGAAUCUGAAUUCGAUAGUCUGAUAGCACAUUUCCAAACUCUAUUCAAGUCAGAUGACAUGUUGCUGAGUUUUGAGCAUUUUAUUGAUACAUAACUGUUAGACUCCCGCGGCUGCCCUGAACGUCUUGUUGCAUUGGAUAUUGGUGCAUUUAUGGAGCACCGAGAAGCUGUGGCUACUCCAGAUGCUGAGUGCGCGCCAAAUUUUUUACAUUAACAACAAUAUUCGAGGGGGAAAUGCUCAAAUUGAUGAGAGUGUGGAUUGCCCUGCCGUUGGAAAUGGACGUUGCUGAGGAGCUGACUGAGCAACAACAAUGCGCUCGACUGUUGAACAUUACAUUGAUCUUGUGUCUUCUUACAACCUGUUUAUGGCAGCAUUACCCAUUGCUGGAACAUGCUUGCUGGUUUGAGGUGAGAGAGCAAAUAAGUGCUUAAAUUUGUUUUCUCAAUUUCCAAUUUACUAUAUCAAACUUAUGUAGUUAUUGCAUCUAUUUGAUCUCAGUAGGAACUAGUUACUACAUUUCAUGGAAAUGAUGGCAGUAGAUCAAAUGGUAAACUUCAUUAUUCAGAUGAUUUUCAGAGGGAAACAUAAAGUUUUCUUGUAGAUUUAUUGCCUUCUUUUAUUCGUA